UGCUCCAUGAGACUCAAAAUGGCUCUCCCCUACCAAACUCUAAUUUAGGUAGUUGGCCAUAGGGGCCAACUCUGUUUUUCUUAAAUCAUCUUAUGACAGUCUUUUCAUUCUAUGACCACCUAGGCACAUCUCAGAGCCUGUUUUGUUGAUUAAGCCUCCACUAGAAUCCCCUUGACAUCUGAAAUAAUUCCCUUUGUUUUCAUUCUUCUCCAUCACACAACCAGCUGAUGUAGGCUCAGAGUACUAACUUUUUCCAGUGCUAAUAGGAAGAAAACACAAUUGGGAAGUUAAGUCAGCUCCCUGACAAGGAAGAUGUAUUCCAUGUUUGUCAUUUGGAUUUGUAAUAUCAAUGUUGUCCAGACAAAUUAUUUUUAUAAAUCACAAUUUUCAAAAUAAAAAUGUAUUUUAGCCAUAUUUAGCAAGUGUCAGGGGAGUUAGAAACUCCAUUUGUUUAGUAAAUAGUUAUUGAUUACUCUAAGGCCAGUCAUUAAGCAUAGUGGGAAAUAUGAAGAUUUAUUGAUUUAUUCAAUAAACAUUUACUGAAUAUAAGCUAUGUGCCAGACACUGAAACACUGGGGAUAUAGAGGUGAACAAGAAACAAGACUCCUGAUCUCAAGGAGUUGCUACUCCAUUGGGAAAAGACAGAUGAUAAACAAGACAAAGGGGAGCACAGAGCUCAUUGCGUAUCUGAAGGAGGUGGACACACAGCCACAUAGCCAGGACUCCUGGAAAUGGCUGAUCCACCUUCUACAUCCUGAAAACACAGACUCUCCCUGACACAACCUUGCAUUUGCGAUCAACUGCAUCACUUGUCAAAACCUCCAAAUCUUUGAUAACUGGCAUUUGUAAUUUAUUAAUUUGGCGUCGGAGCAGGAAAGCAGCUAAGUGUUCCUGAUUAGCACAGUGGAAGAAAUAAAGAGCCCGCUACGGAGGGCAGCGGGGUUGUGCUUUACAAGGAGGAACAAGGAGCCUGCGUGACAUUCCAACUUAGGAGGAUUGCUACCAGCCUCAGCAACUGUGAGAGAGCCAGUCAAUGUUCUUUCAAGGGGGAAAUAAGACCAGGAAGAAGGGGUGAUUGCAACAAACCUCGGGGAAAAAUAAUUCUGACAUGAAACAACCUGAAUCCCGGCGGGAGGCGUUGUUGUAGGCCUCCCUGCUGAACACCAGGGCUGAGAUUCCUGUCCGCAGCCCCCAGGAGCUCGUUCCCUAGCUGGCCUUGGCCUCGCUGGCCUCGGGUUGCUGUCCAUACAGUUCAGCCAAGCAUUCAUCCGGACCACCUUCCUUUGCCAUGACUUGGUGUGCUCUCCAAGUAUACAAGCUUAUCUUCACAUCCGUAAGUGAGGAGUAUUUAAAGAAAAGUUAAUCUGACGCCCAAAGUACCUAUCAUCCCAUGAAUUUCGAAUGCACCAGCAGGACCGCCUGCCAAGCCCAGCUCCACUGCCCCUGUCGGUAGGGCAGUUUACCUGCAAGCUUGGGACCAGCUUUAAUCUAGAGUCUAGGUCGGUGGAGCCUUGGCUGCCCUGCAGCAGGACGUCAAGUUCGGGCGGGGAGCACACAGCCUGUUUUGGCUCAGCCUCUGCUGUUAGGUGACAUGCUGGCCAUUCUAAACUUAACUGACUCUCUUUGACCUCGCAGACUCUGAACCUUUUCAGUAAUCUUUGUGUGCUUGCAGGUGUUCCUACAAACACAGUUCCUGGACUGGACAUGCUCUGACCUCUCUUCCCCCCAACACCACUCACCUGGCCGUAUCACUAGUACUUGCUUUGCUCUUCUCCCAGGUGGGCCGGCUGUUUACAAUUUGAUUUCUGCUGACCCAGUUUCUGAGCCAGGCUACACAUUCCCCAAGAGCAGGGGCUAGAGCUCUUGUUCAGUGCUUGCACAUAGAUGGCCGUCAAUAAAAAUGUGUUUAUAUGAAU